CCCAGGUGUCAAAGGGAUGACUUCAUGAGCUCUUGGUCGGGCCUGAGGCUGUUAGGAAUGGUGGGAGUUGGAGUCCAAAACAUCUGGCAAGAGGGCCAGAGUUUGCCCAGGUGUCAAAGGGAUGACUUCAUGAGCUCUUGGUCGGGCCUGAGGCUGUUAGGAAUGGUGGGAGUUGGAGUCCAAAACAUCUGGCAAGAGGGCCAGAGUUUGCCCAGGUGUUAAAGGGAUGACUUCAUGAGUUCUUGGUCGGGCCCGAGGCUGUUAGGAAUGGUGGGAGUUGGAGUCCAAAACACCUGACAGGAGGGCUGCAGUUUGCCCAGGUGUCAAAGGGAUGACUUCAUGAGCUCUUGGUCGGGCCUGAGGCUGUUAGGGAUGGUGGGAGUUGUAGUCCAAAACACCCGGAGGGAGGGCCCAAGUUGUCCCAUGCCAGGUGUCAAGCAACCUCCUGGGCUGAGCUGGGAUCCACCCAGUUCUUAAAGGCGCAGCACCUUCCUCUUUCCUUUGCAAAGGCCACACCGGGGACGUGGCUCCAGUCCCGGCUUUGCUACUCACUCUCUGCCUCUCCUCCUCCUCCUCCUCCUUCCUCCUCCUUGGCUCAGCCUUCGGUCUCCUGCCCAAGUUGCCUGGGGCGCGUUGUAGGAAGAGGAGGAGGAGGAAGAGGGAAGUUCUCUUCCUCCGAAUCGAGAGCGAGUCCAAGAGCCUCGGAGUUGCUGCCGCUCCGGACCUGCGACGCCUUUCCCCUGAGCAAUGGGAGGCUCACCUGGACGCACAGGUGAUGCUUAUGUGUAAACAGGACGUGUGGGUGUCGGUGGGACUCUGGCUCUUGACUGUGCUGCAUUCACUUUGGAACAGAAAGGUGUCUGGGGAUGGAGUUUGCAGGUGAGGAAUUCCUUUUCCUCUCUUUGUCCCAGGUGAGCCAAUGUCCCAGGGAGGGAGGAUUUGUUUGGCUUGCCUGAGCUGGCUCACCUUCUCUACUGAAUUGCUGCUUUUCUUUGGGGAAGAGCUUUGCGUAUAAUCUGGACUGGAUUUCUGGGCUGGAGCAAAAACCUGUCCUCGCUCCUCCUCUGACGGAAGCUUUUCCUGAGCUCUCAUUGACUUCAUGCUGCAGGUUGGAAGUGCUUUUCCCUUGGUGAAAAUGUAUUUAUUUUAAAUAUUUAUAUUCCGCCCUUCCUUCUCACCCCCCAAAAACUUAGACACUUACAAACGUGGAAGCCUGCAAGCCAGUCAAGGGCAGACUUUUGCAUCUUGACUUUCCUAAUCUGACUCUUGCAGCAAAGACCACUUGUUCCCCUACCACGUCAUUAAUUCCGUGCAAGUGUGGAGUCAUGGCAGUAUAUUAUUAUUAUUAUUAUUAUUAUUAUUAUUAUUAUUAUUAUUUACUUCAUUUCUAUCCCGCUCUUCUCACUCCGCAUAGGACUCAGAGCGGUGUACAACAUACAUUCAGGAAAAAAUUCAGUGCCACAUUAUACAAAGCAAAUAAAACAUAACAAAAAAUCAAUGGAACCAAUCAACAUAUAAAUACAAUUUAAAACCAUUAACAUUAAGAUAUUAAAACAUAAAAAUAUAAAUACAGUAUCUACAAGAUGCAAUGUCCUGCCAUCAUCAGCUCUUUUGGAUGUGAGAUAUACAAAUGCGGAAGGAAGGUUCCACAAGGGCUUCUUCUUGUGCCGGGACAUAAGAAAGGAGGGUGUGUUAAACGUCUCUGCUGUUUUCUUUUGAAAAUGCUUCCAUUGGUUUAUUUUGACAUGAAUUACUCGCCGCUCAAAGGCUGCUUGUUUCAUCAGGUGCAGGAAGUUCACUGAGAAACUGGUUAGUAGAGCCAUGCUGCACAAUAACAAGUCUGUAGGGUAAGAACCAAAAACAACAGGAGUGCAAAACCACAUCCUGAUCUCUUUUUUUUUUUUGAAACAAUAACUUGCUCUUAUGUUUUUGAGGCUUUAAAAUACAUUUAUCUUACCUCUUUAUAGCUGCAGGAAAAUGUUGAUACUCCUUGGGCUUCUAUCUAGGUAUCUCUAUUUCUAUAUCUAUGUAUCUAUGUAUCUAUCUAUC
rnacentral:lncRNA from 11 species